rnacentral:rRNA from 1 species
GACGAACGCUGGCGGCGUGCUUAACACAUGCAAGUCGAGCGGUAAGGCUCCUUCGGGAGUACACGAGAGGCGAACGGGUGAGUAACACGUGAGCAAUCUGCCCUUCACUUUGGGAUAACUCCGGGAAACCGGUGCUAAUACCGAAUGCGACCACUUCAGGCAUCUGACGGUGGUGGAAAGUUCCGGCGGUGAAGGAUGAGCUCGCGGCCUAUCAGCUUGUUGGUGAGGUAAUGGCUCACCAAGGCUUCGACGGGUAGCCGGCCUGAGAGGGUGACCGGCCACACUGGGACUGAGACACGGCCCAGACUCCUACGGGAGGCAGCAGUGGGGAAUAUUGGACAAUGGGCGAAAGCCUGAUCCAGCAACGCCGCGUGAGGGAUGACGGCCUCGGUUGUAA